AGGGCAGAAAAUACUCAAAAUAGGUGGCCAUUGGUCAGAUUGGAUUGGGUUCAUUGGGAGCUUGAAUUUUUACCAGAAACAGAGGGCAGAAAAUAGGUGGUCACUAGUCAGAUUGACAAAUUGGAUUGGGUCCAUUGGGAGAUUAGAUUUUUACCGGAAACACUGAGAUAGGCCUAUAGUUGGCUCAUUCUGACCAAAUGUUGCCGAUAUUCAAGAAUUAUUGACGCUUCAAAUUCUGGUGCCAUCAUCUUCAGUCUCCACCGUCACUGAUCAAGAAGCAAACUCAAGAUUUCACAAGUUUUUACCUUAAGUUUGAAGGGGUAUGUUAGAGAUGAUAUGUGGAUUGUCCUACAUUGCCCAAGUGAAGAGAAGUUUUGGCCAUUAGCUUGUAUAAAAGCCUCCACCAGAUUCGGAUCCCUUGGAAUUUCUAAGGAAAUUCUAGUUUCUGAAAUUUCAGAUUUAAGCUAUUCAUUUUCAUCUAAGAGUUAUUAUUCUGCCAUGUGUUACACUACUAAUAAAAUAAUAAUAAAUUUUUGAUGAUAUUAAUAAUCAUCAUUAUUUUAUUAUUUUAUUAGUAGUGAAACACGUGGCAGGAUAAUGGCUCUUAGUUGAAAAUAAAUAGUUUGAAUUUGAAAUUUUAAAAACUGGAAUUCCCCUAAGAAUUCCAAGGAUCCAAAACCCAUCCACUUGUCCCACAUUGCUAAGAUACAAGAAGCUUCUCUCCCUUUUAACUUCUAUAUAAUGAAGCUCUUAUAUACAAUCAUAUCAUUCAAUAAAAGUUAA